rnacentral:tRNA from 1 species
UUAAGGAUAGCUCAGUCAGUACAGCAUGAGACUCUUAAUCUCAGGGUUGUGGAUUCGAGCCCCACCUAGGGCAAAA